UCUUGGCUCCCUCCCCUUCCUGAAGCACAUCCUGCAUAGAAUGUGGCACAAGCAAGUCUACUCCACCCAUCUUCUCCUAUUAAUAGAACACGGCAGGGCAGAGAAAAGCCUUUGAAUGUUGAGUCAGUAGCUAACGCAACUGUAGAUGGCCCACCUGGAGUCCAAGUCAACUAGGAGCCCCUCUCUCUCUCUCUCAGAAGAAGCAGCUGGAAAGAAUGUCUCCAAGGGUGGACCAGAAGAAUAACAUGACCAGGGAAGCUGCACGGGGACCGAGGAAGGUCACAGUGAUCAAGAGACCACAUCAAGUGAUGUCGAUACCAUCUGGAUUUAUAAAGCAGGAUUCCCCGAACUUCAUCCAAUGUUUGGCUGAGGGUCUGCAUCUGCUUCCAUCAGUUGCUAGGUGACGCCUCUCUGAUGAUACCUGGGCUGGGUGUAAGUCUGGUCACAAGGGAUGGCCAGUUCACGCUAUGUGUCCCUCUUGCUAGGAGUCCUUGUUGCUGUGACUUUUAAAGGUCAUCUUUUUCCUUUAUAGAGGAAGCACAAGUCUGCUAUUCCCCCCCCCCCUUGACCACACACACACCUCUCCCAACCCACCAGUCUCCUCUGUCUGUACCACAGAAGAUUGGACGAGAUAAUCAGGAAAACCACCCAGAAGAAGAAAAAGGCGAGACUCGUUUACAUGUUCUAGAAGCCAGGGGAAAAAAAAAACUGAAGUCUGUUCCCGUUCUCGAGUUUCACCUUUUAAAGGCAAACAGCCAUGGAUGCUCCAGAAGAGUCCUUCAGAGCCUCAGUCCGCAGGCGCUCUGGACGCGAC